rnacentral:rRNA from 1 species
UACGAAGGGGGCUAGCGUUGUUCGGAAUUACUGGGCGUAAAGCGCACGUAGGCGGCUUUGUAAGUUAGAGGUGAAAGCCCGGGGCUCAACUCCGGAACUGCCUUUAAGACUGCAUCGCUAGAAUUGUGGAGAGGUGAGUGGAAUUCCGAGUGUGGAGGUGAAAUUCGUAGAUAUUCGGAAGAACACCAGUGGCGAAGGCGACUCACUGGACACAUAUUGACGCUGAGGUGCGAAAGCGUGGGGAGCAAACAGG